GACGAACGCUGGCGGCGUGCUUAACACAUGCAAGUCGAACGGAGCGGCGAACGGGUGAGUAACACGUGGGUGACAUGCCCUGCACUUCGGGAUAAGCCCUGGUAACUGGGUUUAAUACUGGAGCGUGUGGGAUGGGCCCGCGGCCAAUCAGCUUGUUGGUGGGGUAAUGGCCUACCAAGGCGGCGACGGGUAGCCGGCCUUAGAGGGUGGACGGCCACAUUGGGACUGCGCGACGGCCCAGACUCCUACGGUGGGCAGCAGUGGGGAAUAUUGCGCAAUGGGCGGAAGCCUGAUGCAGCGACGCCGCGUGGGGGAUGACGGCCUUCGGGUUGUAAACUCCUUUCAGCAUCGACGCGGUAGAUGGAGAAGAAGCACCGGCUAACUACGUGCCAGCAGCCGCGGUAAUUC
rnacentral:rRNA from 1 species